rnacentral:rRNA from 1 species
AUUGAACGCUGGAGGCAGGCUUAACACAUGCAAGUCGAGCGGGGUGAUGGUGCUUGCACUAUCACUUAGCGGCGGACGGGUGAGUAAUGCUUAGGAAUCUGCCUAUUAGUGGGGGACAACAUCUCGAAAGGGAUGCUAAUACCGCAUACGUCCUACGGGAGAAAGCAGGGGAUCACUUGUGACCUUGCGCUAAUAGAUGAGCCUAAGUCGGAUUAGCUAGUUGGUGGGGUAAAGGCCUACCAAGGCGACGAUCCGUAGCGGGUCUGAGAGGAUGAUCCGCCACACUGGGACUGAGACACGGCCAGACUCCUACGGGAGGCAGCAGUGGGGAAUAUUGGACAAUGGGGGGAACCCUGAUCCAGCCAUGCCGCGUGUGUGAAGAAGGCCUUAUGGUUGUAAAGCACUUUAAGCGAGGAGGAGGCUCUUUUGGUUAAUACCCAAGAUGAGUGGACGUUACUCGCAGAAUAAGCACCGGCUAACUCUGUGCCAGCCGCCGCCGUAA